AAGUCGUAACAAGGUUUCCGUAGGUGAACCUGCGGAAGGAUCAUUAUUGAAUGGCGCUCUGCGCUUUCACACUUGGCUGUGCGCCCUCUGGGCUGCACGUCGGGUUUCCACACACCUGUGCACCGCUCGUUCGGUGGCCUCGCGCCGCCGUUCGCCUUAUACACUUUAACGUCUGUCUUGAAUGUAAAACCCUUUAAUUAAACACAACUUUCAACAACGGAUCUCUUGGCUCUC
rnacentral:misc_RNA from 1 species